AUUGAACGCUGGCGGCAUGCCUUACACAUGCAAGUCGAACGGUAACAGGUCUUCGGAUGCUGACGAGUGGCGAACGGGUGAGUAAUACAUCGGAACGUGCCCGAGAGUGGGGGAUAACGAGGCGAAAGCUUUGCUAAUACCGCAUACGAUCUCAGGAUGAAAGCAGGGGACCGCAAGGCCUUGCGCUCACGGAGCGGCCGAUGGCAGAUUAGGUAGUUGGUGGGAUAAAAGCUUACCAAGCCGACGAUCUGUAGCUGGUCUGAGGGGACGACCAGCCACACUGGGACUGAGACACGGCCCAGACUCCGACGGGAGGCAGCAGUGGGGAAUUUUGGACAAUGGGCGCAAGCCUGGUCCAGCCAUGCCGCGUGCAGGAUGAAGGCCUUCGGGUUGUAAACUGCUUUUGUACGGAACGAAAAGACUCUGGUUAAUACCUGGGGUCCAUGACGGUACCGUAAGAAUAAGCACCGGCUAACUACGUGCCAGCCGCCGUAGUAAAAC
rnacentral:rRNA from 1 species